rnacentral:rRNA from 1 species
CAACUGAAGAGUUUGAUCAUGGCUCAGAUUGAACGCUGGCGGCAGGCCUAAGACAUGCAAGUCGAGCGAGAAAGUACUUCGGUACGAGUACAGCGGCGGACGGGUGAGUAACGCGUAGGAAUCUACCUAGUAGUGGGGGACAACUCGUGGAAACGCGAGCUAAUACCGCAUACGCCCUACGGGGGAAAGCGGGGGAUCUUCGGACCUCGUGCUAUUAGAUGAGCCUGCGUAAGAUUAGCUAGUUGGUGGGGUAAAGGCCUACCAAGGCGACGAUCUUUAGCUGGUCUGAGAGGAUGAUCAGCCACACCGGGACUGAGACACGGCCCGGACUCCUACGGGAGGCAGCAGUCGGGAAUAUUGCGCAAUGGGCGAAAGCCUGACGCAGCCAUGCCGCGUGUGUGAAGAAGGCCCUAGGGUUGUAAAGCACUUUCAAUUGGGAGGAAAAGCUAAUGGUUAAUAGCCAUUAGCCCUGACGUUACCUUUAGAAGAAGCACCGGCUAACUCCGUGCCAGCAGCCGCGGUAAUACGGAGGGUGCAAGCGUUAAUCGGAAUUACUGGGCGUAAAGCGCGCGUAGGCGGCUCUUUAAGUCGGAUGUGAAAGCCCCGGGCUCAACCUGGGAACUGCAUCCGAUACUGGGGAGCUAGAGUGUAGGAGAGGGAGGUAGAAUUCCAUGUGUAGCAGUGAAAUGCGUAGAUAUAUGGAGGAAUACCAGUGGCGAAGGCGGCCUCCUGGCUUAACACUGACGCUGAGGUGCGAAAGCGUGGGGAGCAAACGGGAUUAGAUACCCCGGUAGUCCACGCCGUAAACGAUGUCUACUAGCUGUAGGGGUACUUGAGACCUUUGUAGCGCAGCUAACGCACUAAGUAGACCGCCUGGGGAGUACGGCCGCAAGGUUAAAACUCAAAUGAAUUGACGGGGGCCCGCACAAGCAGUGGAGCAUGUGGUUUAAUUCGAUGCAACGCGAAGAACCUUACCAGGCCUUGACAUCCUCGGAACUUUCUAGAAAUAGAUUGGUGCCUUCGGGAACCGAGUGACAGGUGCUGCAUGGCUGUCGUCAGCUCGUGUCGUGAGAUGUUGGGUUAAGUCCCGUAACGAGCGCAACCCUUGUCCUUAGUUGCCAGCACAUAAUGGUGGGAACUCUAAGGAGACUGCCGGUGACAAACCGGAGGAAGGUGGGGACGACGUCAAGUCAUCAUGGCC